rnacentral:misc_RNA from 1 species
GCAUCGAAACCUAAUGGGUGUGUAGGAAUUAGGGGUCGGAGGCUUGUUCGUCGGAAGAGACACAGAGUUAGUAGAAAGAGAAAUGUAUCGAAGACUCAUUCGGCUUCUCAAAAUCUCAGUAAGAUUGAACCAUCUUCUUCAGCUGAUCAUUCUUACUCUAAUCCUGCUUUUCAAGGAAAUGCAGAGUCUUGGUUCGACCCGGAGAUGGUGGUU